GGAAUCUUCCACAAUGGGCGCAAGCCUGAUGGAGCAACACCGCGUGAGUGAAGAAGGGUUUCCGCUCGUAAAGCUCUGUUGUUAGAGAAGAACGUGCGUGAGAGCAACUGUUCACGCAGUGACGGUAUCUAACCAGAAAGUCACGGCUAACUACGUGCCAGCAGCCGCGGUAAUACGUAGGUGGCAAGCGUUGUCCGGAUUUAUUGGGCGUAAAGCGAGUGCAGGCGGUCUUUUAAGUCUGAUGUGAAAGCCUUCGGCUUAACCGAAGAAGGGCAUCGGAAACUGGGAGACUUGAGUGCAGAAGAGGAGAGUGGAACUCCAUGUGUAGCGGUGAAAUGCGUAGAUAUAUGGAAGAACACCAGUGGCGAAGGCGGCUCUCUGGUCUGUAACUGACGCUGAGGCUCGAAAGCGUGGGUAGCAAACA
rnacentral:rRNA from 1 species